CAAAUCGAAUUUGAAUGUACAGAGAUACCGUGACGAGAUCCUGAGGCCAAUGUCGUGCCAUUCAUCCCCCUCCAUCACCUCAUGUUUCAGCAUGAUAAUGCAAGGCUCCAUGUCGCAGUUCUUCCAUGGCCUGCAUACUCACCAGACAUGUCAUCCAUUGAGCAUGUUUUGGAUACUCUGUAUCGACGUGUACGACAGCGUGUUCCAGUUCCUGCAAUUAUCCAGCAACUUCGCACAGCCAUUGAAGAGGAGUGGGACAACAUUCCACAGGUCACAAUCAACACCCUGAUCAAUUCUAUGUGAAGGAGAUGUGUCGCGCUGCCUGAGGCAAAUGUUGAUCACACCAGAUACAUGCUAGUUUUCUGAUCCACGCCUCUACUUUUUUUGUAAAGGUAUCUCUGACCAACAGAUGCAUAUCUGAUUCCCAGUCAAGUGAAAUCAAUAGAUUAGGGGCUAAUUCAUUUGUUUCAAUGGACUGAUUUCCUUAUAUGAACCAUAAACUUAGUAAAAAUUUUGAAAUUGUUGCAUAGUGCGCUUAUAUUUUUGUUCAGUACUAACCAUAAGGACUUGAUAUUUCAUGAUAUUUCUGGAGGUACUGUUGUAGGGGAAUAUCCUGGAUCAAACAGCAGCUGUUUGCUGGAAUUUGAUGUUUCAUAACUUUUUAAAUUACAGUGUAUUGAUUCAGAAAACAAUCUAUGAGAAAAUAAAUUGGUUUAGCUAUAUGAGCCAGUCAAGUGGGACAAAUACUUUACUUGUGAUUUGUUGAUUAACUUAUCAGAACUGGUUGGGAAAGCCAAGCUUUAGCAAGAGACGUUAUUAUUUUUUCAUUUUACUUGUACAGAAACGGUCUUUAGUCAGCAAUGUGUUCUGUGUGUAAUAGCUGUAAGGGGUAAUGUGAGAAACAAAAUGUUACAAAGACAAAGGUGAGCAUUUAAAUUCCCAUUUAGUUUAGGGUAAAGUACAGAACAAAAACUGUAAUCCCUGUCUAUCUAUGUAAGUGAGGGUCAGAGAAUGAUCAUACACAUGUACUGUAUGUCCAUGGGACAUUUUUCGAGUUAUCAAAUCAAAAGUAUUGCAUAAAGUAUAAACUGGCAGUGAACCAACUAAAACCAUGGACUGUGUAGAGUUCUGUACAAUACAGUAAGGAUCCAACCAGAGAAGAGGGGAACUAGGAAUACUGAAUGUGUUCUGUUCUGCCAAAGCAGUGGGCCUUCAGAAUCUGCUUGUACAGCGUACAGGGGGAAAGAGAGCAUCUGCACACUGCAUAUCAAAGCUCUUCACCGCACACAAUCCAUAUUUAAUUCCAUAUCAUCAAUAUCCCGGAGGAAAACAUCAGUGUUCACAUGAAAAGCGUUCUUCACUCUGACCACAUUUGAUCAAAGCACAAGAGCAUCUGAAUGAAUAGAGAUUUUUCUUGUAUUAUUAGAACUGCCAAAUCUCCUAAAACUAAUAUCCAUGAAAUGGAAAUGCUUCAGUAACAUUGACAUACAGUGUUAUAUCUUCUGGGGUAAGGCAGGUAAGGAGUUGAGAGGAUUUGGUUUGAAUAAUAAAGAGACAUGAAUGUCAAAUAGGAUGACACAAAAUGUAUAAAUUAGUGGUAUAUGUUCUAUUAAAUGCAUGAAUAACUGCAUACAGUUUAAAAUAAUUUACUGGAUCAUAUUGUACCUCCUCCCAUUAUAAACUUCACCACCAAAGCUAUGGUCAAAUAAAGUUUCAUUAAUGAAUUCAGCAGGGCUCAAGACUCCAGAGCACCUGUACUCUGAUGAUUAGAUGGCUUAGUUUAUUGGAAAUGGACCAUACAGUAUAAAUUGCCUUACGUAUGUUGGUUCCGUUUUUCUGUGCUCCGUUUUAUUUACUUAACAAAUAAGGAAUACUCUAAAUGUGCACUUAGAAAUCAUAACAAUUUUACUCAAAAUACAGCUGUAGACAGAAGUCAAAGAUCAAACAUCACACAUACAACUGAUAUCUCUCAUGAGCUGCCCCAUAGGAAAAGUCCAAGUUGCUUUUAUCAUGCUUGUAGUCAACCCCCUGUGAAGUCACUGCAUACGUCGUUACCUGCUACUCCUCAGACCAAGCCCAUGCAUACACAGCUAUACAAACUUGCAAGAGAUACAAUAGUUCCAGUGUUUUCUAAGGCUCAGCAGUAAAUGUCCAUUCCCCCAAGUUGAUUUAGAUGUCCACCCAAUGCCAUAAAUCACUCAUUUCUCAGAUCAUUUUUUAAAAUUAGAGGCAGAGACUUAGAAAAGACUGUGGAAUAAUUAUAAAAUCUUACAAUGAAUAUAUAUAUUGUUAAUCUGUAGUCUAGGACCCUAUAAAUGUAGAGGAGGAGGGGUCCCACAGCCCCUCCCCUUCUAUUAAUACAACAUAAGCAUAAUCAAUUAUUAUAAUACAUCAAACAUUUCGUGCAGCCCCUAUCAUGACCCCAAUUUGACCCCAUCACCUAUAAGCCAAUUAAAGUACCCAGACAUUCACUUAACUGGACAACCAUGAGUAAACAAUUUUGAGUUCUCACAUGCAAAACUUUUAAUUGCUCUAAAAUCUGUUUGGCAUGUUAAACACAGUUUGUGUUUUUAUCGGCCUGCAUUUACACAAAUCAGAAUUGGGCUGCCUCUGCGCAGCCUAAGAUCAACGCAUAAUGUGAAGAAAUGGAUAGGAAAACACUAUGACUGCGUUUACACAUGCAGCCCAAUUCUGUUUUUUUUCUCACUAUUUGGUAUUUUGACCAAUCAGAUUUUCUCUGAAACACCUCUGAUGUGAUUACUGGAGAAAACAAAUCACAAUUGGGGUGCCUAUGUAAACAUAGCCUGUGUAGUUUGUAGAACCAUACAAUACGUUACUUUUUUGUGUGUCUUGUCAAAAAUUCAGAACUGUAAUUGCAUCCUAAUAUUUUCUACUCUGGAAACAUCUGAACAUACUGCUCCAGAGACUUAUCUGCCCUAGUUUUCUCCACCAAUCAUUGAAGGAUUAUCUCAAAUGAUUGCACCUGAGUAAGUUCCACCUUGCUGGUUUUGAUUACCACCAGGUUAAGCUGCUUGAGAAUUUGACAAAUAUACUUUCCAUGACACCAACCAAAAGUUUCUGUCAGCACAAUAAUCUGUGGUGUUAAACACACAUUUUUGGAAACAGAUAACGAACACCAGCAUAGCUUCUGUGCUGCAGCUCAUUCAUGAUGGCUGUGUCUGUCUACCUUUUAAGCAUGGUUCUGUUUUGCCUGUUAAAUGUAGCGGUAAACUGGGUCUUUUCCAAGAGGCUGCAGUUAUGGCUAUGCUGAGAGUGGACAGUGUCUCACUGUGGAGCCCCAGUACUACAGAGCUGCACAUUAUCCCAGCCAGCAUGACCAGGUCCAAAGUUCCUCAGCCUGGAGUAACACUUUUCCUGCUGACCUCAGGUCAAAAAGUGCUCCAGUAGAUUUCCGCCUAACUAUAUCCUUACAACGCCUCUCAAGUCCACCGACAACCUCUACCAGUAGUCCUGGCUCUAAUCAGAAAGGCGGCACCCCUUGUGCUGGUCCUGCUCAGGGGGGCCCAGACCCAAACCAAGAUUAGUCUGCCCCCAAUGGAUCUGACACCCAGAGAGAAGUUUCCCAUAGCCCCAUUGGAAAGAUCCAAGGUGUAAAGGGCAGUUGGGUUUUUUAUCCCAGAUAAGAUGGAGCUAACGGAUUUGACCAAACCCCAAACUGGAAAGACCAUCUGUGCCAUUUACCCUAUUCCCUUAGCCAUUGGUCCCCCCCAGUAUGAGACAAAUCCCAGUGGCUAUUACUUGCAUACCACAUCUUUCCCCAUGUAUUAUUCAAACUCAACUUCUUCAGUUUACCCUGUUCCAAUGUGGUAUGGUCCCACUCAGGAUGUUAAGUGGUUAUAACCCAGGCCAGGUGAAGCCUCCCACAAACUUUGACAAAGGACCAUUUCCCCCAAACCAAUCACUGCAGCUGGUCCUGCACCGGUUGGCUCAAGUACCCCCUCAGCCUGGAAAUGUUCCCAGUGGACAUUACCAAGGUCUGAAGAACCCCACUACUACCCAAUUUGGGACACCCUAGACUGGAGGAGGACAGGCUGAUAAGAAAUCCUCUCCUGUCCAGACAGGAAAUAAACCUGAUUCCUCCAGAAUGGAAAGCUCUCAAAACCUGCACUCCAGCGAUAUACCCCCAGCUAUGGCCCUCCUUAUAGUGUAGGUCAGUAUAAAUAUAAACCCCCAACUCCAAUAAAACCUGACCCUGUGCCCACCAAUGUUGGCUAUGGCCAAAAUGGAGGAGCUCCUAGUGGUCACUACUACCCGGGUCAGGAAAACCUCUCCCCAGGUUAUUUUGGCAAAAGACUGACUGAACAAACUAUGCCUCCAAAACCUACUGUUGACCCUGUAUCCAAUACCUCUGAUCCUAUCCACUAUGGAAACUUUUUCUAGUUCAAACUAAACCUUCCAUCUCAAAUUCAGGAAUAGGCCAGGCUGGUAAGAAACCUUCAGUCCAGAAAGGUAGUGAACUUGGUCCACCAAGCCCCCAAAUAAGACCUGCCCCCCCAGAAUUAUACCCCAGCCAUGGCUCUCCUUACAGUAUGGAUAGCCAAUAUACAUUCAAACCCCCCCGUCAGAAAAAAACCCUCCACCUCCCAUUCAGGAAGAGACCAGGAUGGUAAACUCUCUCCUGGACCAAUUUCUGGCCCUGUUUCUGCACUCAAUCAUUCCAUCACAGGAAGUUCAGACAGCAAACCUGCACCGCAGAGUUAUACCCCCACCUACAAUGCUCCUUAGUGUUGGUAGCCAAUAUAACCGCCGAAGGCCAGUCAAUCCUGACAAAACAGGAUUGUGCGCUCCCUGUGCGCUCCAAUGUUGGCUAUGGCCAAAAUGUAGCUCUGAGUGGCUACUACUCAGGUCAGCAUCAACCCUCCACCAACUAUUUUAGUCAUGGACCGACUUGGCCAACCUAUGCUUCCCAUAUCCAUAUUUGAUGUCGGCCCUGUCCACUAUCCUACUACCCACUAUAGAACCUUUUACCCAUGGCAGAUGCAACUUUCCACCACCAAUUCAGGAGGAAGUGGCCAGGUUGGUAAGAAUCCCUCUCUAGGUCAGCAAGGUAGUGAACAUGGUUCCCCAACCCGCAAAUACAGCAGGCCUGUGCCCCCUACUUAUAGCCCCAUCUUAAAGCACAGGUGCCCCAAGGCCAGUAACUGCCCAAACAGACUACUACCUUGUGCCAUCCAAUAUUGGCUAUAGCCAGAAUGGAGGAGUGCCUAUUAGCUACUACUACUCGGGUCAGGAAAACCCUUCUACCAGUUAGUUAUAUUGAACAAAACAUUCCUCCCAAAGCUUUCAUUAAAGCAAAACCUUACCCCAGCCAAUGUUCCUCUGCACAAAGUAUAGAUAACCCAAGUAGGAACUCUCAGCCACCUUUUCACAGCACUUGGACCACAAACCUGCUUUGGAAGUCAACACGUUUGCACCUUUUCACAGUGGAUUAAACCCAAAUGCAGCCAACCAGUUCACCAAGAUUACCAGUGAUUCAAGCAUAGAGGCUGAGAGUGGUGAAGAGCCUAGUCCUGUCCAACCCACUCCUGAAUCAGAUGAAGGUGCAGGUCCCAGAGGAUUUAUGCCACAAAUACUUCCUCAGAGAAACUACGCCCAGUCCUAGAGUGGAGGCUCCCGUGGUGAUGUCGUUCCAGGAAGACCUGAAUUCAGGAUGACUAAAGUGCAGGCUCGGUGAUCUCCUGACCAUGGACUUCAAUUCUCUACAGCACUUUGAUUACUAAUAAAUAAUUCAAUAUUUCACUGGAGGUCCUUUGUCUUUUAACUAUGUGGGCUAUUGGCUCUGACCAGUAAGAAACUUGGUCUAAUCAUGGCUCUUAAAGCUUUAGGGGCUUUGUGUGUCAAGAGUAUCCAAUAUGGGUUACACUCAACCCAAGUUAGAGAAAUCUUUCUUUAGUUGCUUUAAAUGCAUCUGCAGGGGUCUCAUUACUUGCUUUGUUCUUUAGUAGUACAUGCACUUUAAUUUAAUUUAAUCAGAUUUGUACAGCCAAAGCAGUGUUGGGCAAAACUGCAUGUUAAAGGCCCAUGGCAAUCAACAAGGUUUUUCUGUGUCUUAUAUACAUUUCCACACUGAGGUUGGAAUAAUGUGAAAAUAAUGCAGUUUUGAAAAGAACGCCUGAAAUUUCAGCCUGUUUUGGUGGAAUUGAGUUUUGGAAGUUAGACCAAUUACUUUCAAACCUAUGUCAAUAAUAGAUAGUUUUUAGGUUACAAAUCCCUCCUAACAAGGCCCUUCACUCAGUCCUAGCAAAAUUCUUGCUUGAGAAAUUGCUCUUUGCUAAGAAGCUUUUAAAAACCCAUUUCUGACCAUAUCAAUUAAAAAUAACAGUAUGAAGGUACUUCAUUGUUCCCUGAAUUAUUUUAUAUUGAGGUAAACUGCUGCAUUGGACCUUGAAAGAAUGGCAUAAGCUUGAAUGCACUAGGUGUGAGGAAAUACCAUUUGAUUUUUGUUCAAACAUCCUUCACAUUUCUGGGAUUACAUCUUUAUAAUGAGGACUAGAAGUAACUCCACAGGGCUUAAGCUUACACUGCAAUUACAUUCUGUACAUAUCAACUGGAAUUCACAGGUUUGAAAUACAAUGGAUGUCAAAAGUUGUCAUGAGGUGCCUUGCUCUAUGGUCCAUAUCAGCUGCUAGAAACCUUUGGCACCAUUACAAAUGAGAAUAUUGUCUAUUCAACCAUGUAUGAUAUUUGUCACUCAAUGAGUUGUAGCUGUGGGUGGCAGGUGUGGUAAUUUGACUUGUCACGUGUAUGGCAUUUAUGUGAUAAGAUGUCGCACUGCGCAGUUGCCGACAUUGCAUAGAGGGUGUGUUCAAAAGAACUCCAGAUCAAAGAAAUGCUAUUUUAUUGGGGAGUCUCACAGGAGACACGUUAACUUCAAAGACUAACGAGUUGGAGCUCUUCCUUUGCUUGUUGCAAUAGGUCUGGGCGGCAUCACUGAAGCACAUCAGCUGUAAACAAACCCUGCAUAUUCAUAGGAACUGACAUACCAUGUCAUCAUUCUUGUUUAACAUGAGCCCCCACCUAUUUAGUCCUGCCCCACUUGUUACUGCUCUGGCUGCUAGCUACUGUAUGACAAAUAGUGAUAGUGGUAUUAGUGGUAUUUUGACUAACUGUUUCAGUGUUUUGUUUUGUGGACCCCAGGAGGAAUCGCUUCGGCAAAAGCUAAUGGCGAUCUGAAUAAAACUUGCUUCUUAUUCCUUGUAUCUUAAAUGGGCUAAAAGUGUAGUUGUGUAAAUUAUUUAUUGGGAAUCUACAUAACACCUACCACAGAUCAAUCACUAUCCAUAAAAGUAUGACUGACGCCACCUACUGUUCAGAAACUGAUGCAUAGAGUAUACGAGCUAAUGGAAAGUAAAAUUAUUACACAUGGUCAACUUUAUUUUUUAAAGUUUCACUUGAUAAGACAUCGGUCUGCAGCAGGGUUGCCCAGGAAGCAGAUGUUAGCAAUAAGAAGAGGAAGGUAACAAGUGUUCGAAAGAGAAAAAGGCUGUCAGUGAGGGGAAGAGACUGGCUGAAGAGAGGUAUGAAAUUAGAAUGUGAGAGAGGGGAAGGAUGGAUUGGGGGGCAAAAGAGAGGUUUUAACACUUCAAGAAGCAUGUCCAGUUAAGCUUUGAGCAACAGAAAGAGCAUAAAAUGAGUCUGAGGAGCAUAAUCGUGCUGUCUCCAUUGUACAGGGCUUUUGGGACCAUUGCGGAAUAUGAGCUUGCCAAGUAACAAGCCUUUUAAAUAGUAGGAAAAAAGAGUGUUUGUUUUUAAAACAAACAAUGCAAGCGGUUUCCCCUGCCCUGAAUUCAAAUUUGGAUUGUCCUCCAGUCACAAUAAGGUCCUCUCACUUCUCACAACUAGGGUUGGGUGGGCCUAAACUAAUGUCCCAGCAGGGUUAAACAGGAAGGUAUGUGCAGUGUCUGCAUGAGAGUUUAUGUAUGCAACUCAACAAAAAAGCACUUAAAGGGAUGCUUCUGGAUUUUGGAAAUGAGGCCUUUAUCUACUUCCCCAGAGUCAGAUGAACUCGUGGAUACAAUUUUUAUGUGUGUCCAGUAUGAAGGAAGUUAGGGGUAGUUUUGCGAGCCAAUGCUAACUAGCAUUAGCGCAAUGACUGAAAGUCUAUAGUUAUCUGCAAAAUUAAGGAAGUUUAAAAACAUUACAAUACAUUCACAGAUUUCACAACACACUGUGUGCCCUCAGACCCCUACUCCACCAGUACCACAUAUCUACAGUACUAAAUCCAUGUGUAUGUAUAGUGUGUAUGUUAUCGUGUGUGUGUGUGUGUGUGUGUGUGUGUGUGUGUGUGUGUGUGUGCCUGUGUCUAUGCCAAUGUUUGUGUUGCUUCACAGUCCCCGCUGUUCCAGAAGGUGUUUUUUUAAAAUCUCAUUUUACUGCUUGCGUCAGUUACUUCAUGUGGAAUAGAGUUCCAUGUAGUCAUGGCUCAAUGUAGUACUAUGUGCCUCCCAUAGUCUGUUCUGGACUUGGGAACUGUGAAGAGACCUCUUGCGGCAUGUCUUGUGGGGUAUGCAUGGGUGUCCGAGCUGUGUGGCAGUAGUUUAGACAGAGUUUGCAUUCAGCAAACUCUCAUAAAUAAAAGUAGUGAUGAAGUCAAUCUUUCCUCCACUUUCAGCCAGGAGAGAUUGACAUGCAUAUUAUUAAUAUUAGCUCUCUGUGUACAUCCAAGGGCCAGCCGUACUGCCCUGUUCUGAGCCAAUUGCAAUUUUCCAAGUGAUUUUUGAGCCAAGUGAUUUUUCGUGGCACCUGACCACACGACUGAACAGUAGUCAAGGUGCGACAAAACUAGGACCUGUAGGACCUGCCUUGUUGAUAGUGUUGUUAAGAAGGCAGAGCAUCGCUUUAUUAUAGACAGCCUUCUCCCCAUCUUAGCUACUACUGCAUCAAUAUGUUUUGACCAUGACAGUUUACAAUCUAGGGUUACUCCAAGCAGUUUAGUCAGCUCAACUUAUAAGAUUUAGUUGAGGUUUAGGGUUGCGUGAGUGUUUUGUUCCAAAUACAAUGCUUUUAGUUUUAGAAAUAUUUAGGGCUAACUUAUUCCUUGCCACCCACUCUGAAAUUAACUGCAGCUCUUUGUUGAGGUUUGCAGUCAUUUCAGUCGCUGUAGUAGCUUACGUGUAUAGUGUUGAGUCAAACGAAAUACAUAGACACUCUGGCUUUACUCAAAGUCAGUGGCGUGUCAUUAGUAAAAAUGGGAAAAAGCUAGGGGCCUAAACAGCUACCCUGGGGAAUUCCUGAUUCUAAUUGGAUUAUAUUUGAGAGGCUUCCAUUAAAGAACACCCUCUGUGAUCUUCUAGACAAGUAACUCUUUAUCCACAUUAUAGCAGGGGUGUAAAGCCAUAACACAUAAGUUUUUUCCACAAGCAGACUAUGAUCGAUAAUGUCAGAAGCUGCACUGAAGUCUAACAAGACAGCCCCCACAAUAAUUGUAUCAUCAAUUUCUCUCCGCCAAUCGUCAGUUAUUUGUGUAAAUGCUGUGCUUGUUGAGUGUUCCUCCCUAUAAGCAUGCUGAAAUUCUGUUGUCAAUUUGUUUACUGUGAAAUAGGAUUGUAUCUGGAGUGGAGCAGGUUGAGAGCUUCAAGAUCCUUGGUGUCCACAUUACCAACGAACUGUCAUAGUCCAAACACACCAAGAUAGUCGUGAAGAGGGCACGACAACGCCUAUUCCCCCUCAGUCGAUUGAAAAUACUUGGCAUGGGUCCUCAGAUCCUCCAAAUGUUCUACAGUUGCACCUGGUAUGGCAACUACUCGGCCUCUGACUGCAAGGUACAGAGGUUAGUGCGUAUGGCCCAGUACACCACUGGGGACAAGCUUCCUGCCAUCCAAGACCUCUAUACCAGGUGGUGUCAGAGGAAGGUCCUAAAAAUUGCCAAAGACUCCUGCCACCCUAGUUUGUAAGUAACCAUUUCACUGUAAGGUCUACACCUAUUGUAUUCGGCGCAUGAGACAAAUACAAUUUGAUAUUACCUGAGUGCGCAGGUGUUUGAGCUGGUUGCGCAGCUGAAAGAGCUAUGCGGAGAUGAGCAGGAUGGUGUUGAGCCUCUGCACCAUGGUGGAGGCAAACUUCAGGUCCUCCUCCUUCAGCAGGAUGUCUGCCAUGGAGUGGAAGAUGUUCUCCGCGUGCAGGAGCAGACAGAGCUGCCUGGAGGAACGGAGAGCAAGGAGAGAGCAGUAACGUGAAACAAACUACAAACAAUCCCAGAAGAGAGAGAGGUAAUGGAUAACAAACUACAAACAAUCCCAGUUGCGAGAAAGGCCCUCCAUUCCAAAACCUGAAGCCCCCUGUCCCCAGCAGGAAAGACUAGGAAAAAGUGUUGGCUUAAGAUCUGCCAUGCUCAGCAGUUCAGCUGCAGACACAGCAGUCCACUGGUGUGGUAUUUAGUUUACCAGCUGAACCAGUUCCUACUACACUGGCCGUGAAGGGAGAAACUUUUAAGGAUUACCAGAUGGAUACAGAUCUGCCAUGCUCUCCACCACUGCCUGACAGCUUCACCCAGAAGUGCAUACACUGGGCCUAUCAAGACUGACAAAGCAGAGAUGGGUGGCUGACAAGGAAAAAAAAAAAAAAAAACAUGCACAUACAUUAUCCACAAUGUAAAUAAGUUGUAAUAUUUGCUGCAUUUUAUUUUAUGAUUGGAGAUAUCUACUCCUACAUAUCCAUUAUCAAUAUCUGCUCUAAAUAUCUAUCAAAUCAACGUGUGAUUGAUAAUAUUGUAAAAGACUUGUGUGUACAGUUUUAGGAAAUUCUGUGUACUUUUUUUCUGAUUUGAAAAACAUGCUUCCCUCUCUCACACACACACACACACACACUAGACCCAAUGUAAAUACAUUGUAAUAACUUGUUUAUUUUAUGUAUGCUACAUUUUAUUUGAGGAAAAUAUCUUCAAUAAAGUACAUUUACAGUUAAA